rnacentral:rRNA from 1 species
GAUGAACGCUGGCGGCGUGCCUAAUACAUGCAAGUCGAGCGAACGGACGAGAAGCUUGCUUCUCUGAUGUUAGCGGCGGACGGGUGAGUAACACGUGGAUAACCUACCUAUAAAACUGGGAUAACUUCGGGAAACCGGAGCUAAUACCGGAUGAUAUUUUGAACCGCAUGGUUCAAAAGUGAAAGACGGUCUUGCUGUCCCUUAUAGAUGGAUCCGCGCUGCAUUAGCUAGUUGGUAAGGUAACGGCUUACCAAGGCAACGAUGCAUAGCCGACCUGAGAGGGUGAUCGGCCACACUGGAACUGAGACACGGUCCAGACUCCUACGGGAGGCAGCAGUAGGGAAUCUUCCGCAAUGGGCGAAAGCCUGACGGAGCAACGCCGCGUGAGUGAUGAAGGUCUUCGGAUCGUAAAACUCUGUUAUUAGGGAAGAACAUAUGUGUAAGUAACUGUGCACAUCUUGACGGUACCUAAUCAGAAAGCCACGGCUAACUACGUG